AGAGUUUGAUCCUGGCUCAGGACGAACGCUGGCGGCGUGCCUAACACAUGCAAGUCGAGCGAUGAAAUCCUUCGGGAUGAAUUAGCGGCGGACGGGUGAGUAACACGUGGGUAACCUGCCUCAAAGAGGGGAAUAGCCUUCCGAAAGGAAGAUUAAUACCGCAUAAUAUGUUUUGGUCGCAUGAUCGAAACAUCAAAGGAGCAAUCCGCUUUGAGAUGGACCCGCGGCGCAUUAGCUAGUUGGUGAGGUAACGGCUCACCAAGGCGACGAUGCGUAGCCGACCUGAGAGGGUGAUCGGCCACAUUGGAACUGAGACACGGUCCAGACUCCUACGGGAGGCAGCAGUGGGGAAUAUUGCGCAAUGGGGGAAACCCUGACGCAGCAACGCCGCGUGAAUGAUGAAGGCCUUCGGGUUGUAAAGUUCUGUCUUCUGGGACGAUAAUGACGUACC
rnacentral:rRNA from 1 species